rnacentral:lncRNA from 1 species
UUGCUGCAGCUGCUUUUCCCAGUCACCCGUAGGCCAUUCUCCCUGAGAUGAUAAAAUGGCUCACCUCACCCCAGGCCUAAGCUGGUGGAGGCCAGGGCUGUUUUGCAAGAAAUAAAUCGUGUUAUAUGCUGCCUACUACAUCAUUGUCCCAGCCCGGACCCACGGAAUGAGCAUGCCCAGAAUACCCUGAACACUAGGGCCGAAGAGCAUAUUGUUUGAAA